rnacentral:rRNA from 1 species
GAUGAACGCUGGCGGCGUGCCUAACACAUGCAAGUCGAGCGCGUCUGAUUUGAUGCUUGCAUUGAUGAAAGAUGAGUGGCGGACGGGUGAGUAACGCGUGGGUAACCUGCCCUAUACACAUGGAUAACAUACUGAAAAGUUUACUAAUACAUGAUAAUAUAUAUUUACGGCAUCGUAGAUAUAUCAAAGUGUUAGCGGUAUAGGAUGGACCCGCGUCUGAUUAGCUAGUUGGUGAGAUAACUGCCCACCAAGGCGACGAUCAGUAGCCGACCUGAGAGGGUGAUCGGCCACAUUGGAACUGAGACACGGUCCAAACUCCUACGGGAGGCAGCAGUGGGGAAUAUUGCACAAUGGGCGCAAGCCUGAUGCAGCAACGCCGCGUGAACGAUGAAGGUCUUCGGAUCGUAAAGUUCUGUUGCAGGGGAAGAUAAUGACGGUACCCUGUGAGGAAGCCCCGGCUAACUACGUGCCAGCAGCCGCGGUAAUACGUAGGGGGCUAGCGUUAUCCGGAUUUACUGGGCGUAAAGGGUGCGUAGGUGGUCUUUCAAGUCGGUGGUUAAAGGCUACGGCUCAACCGUAGUUAGCCUCCGAAACUGGAAGACUUGAGUGCAGGAGAGGAAAGUGGAAUUCCCAGUGUAGCGGUGAAAUGCGUAGAUAUUGGGAGGAACACCAGUAGCGAAGGCGGCUUUCUGGACUGCAACUGACACUGAGGCACGAAAGCGUGGGUAGCAAACAGGAUUAGAUACCCUGGUAGUCCACGCUGUAAACGAUGAGUACUAGGUGUCGGGGGUUACCCCCCUCGGUGCCGCAGCUAACGCAUUAAGUACUACGCCUGGGGAGUACGCACGCAAGUGUG